rnacentral:rRNA from 1 species
AGCGAAAUUCCUUGUCGGUUAAAUACCGACCUGCAUGAAUGGCGUAACGAGAUGGGAGCUGUCUCAAAGAGGGAUCCAGUGAAAUUGUAGUGGAGGUGAAAAUUCCUCCUACCCGCGGCAAGACGGAAAGACCCCGUGGACCUUUACUACAGCUUGACACUGCUACUUGGAUAAGAAUGUGCAGGAUAGGUGGGAGGCUUUGAGUAUAUGACGCCAGUUGUAUAUGAGCCAUUGUUGAGAUACCACUCUUUCUUAUUUGGGUAGCUAACCAGCUUGAGUUAUCCUCAAGUGGGACAAUGUCUGGUGGGUAGUUUGACUGGGGCGGUCGCCUCCCAAAUAAUAACGGAGGCUUACAAAGGUUGGCUCAGAACGGUUGGAAAUCGUUCGUAGAGUAUAAAGGUAUAAGCCAGCUUAACUGCAAGACAUACAAGUCAAGCAGAGACGAAAGGCGGUCUUAGUGCUCCGGUGGUUCUGUGUGGAAGGGCCAUCGCUCAAAGGAUAUAAGGUGCCCCGGGGAUAACAAGCUGAUCUCCCCCCAGAUCUUACAGCGACGGGGAGGUUUGGCCCCUCGAUGUCGGCUCAUCGCAUCCUGGGGCUGACGCAGGUCCCAAGGGUAUGGCUGUUCGCCAUUUAAA